rnacentral:rRNA from 1 species
UCGUAGGUGGACCUGCGGAAGGAUUCUUAAUGAAUUUACAAAAGGUUUUGAAGUUGUUUUGGUGGUUUUUAGGGACAUUUGUGCACGCUUCAUUAGUUUCCACUUCAUACCCCUGUGCACCUUUGAUAGAUUUCGGUUUGGGUUAUCCUUUGGUUUUUUUUUUAAAUGGAAAGGCCUUUGGUUUCCUUAACACGACUUCUAUACUAUACCACACACCAAAUGUAUGUUUUAUUAAUGAAUGGUUUAUAAUAACAAGGCCAUGAGCCUUAUAAACUUAAUACAACUUUCAACAACGGAUCUCUUGGCUCUCGCAUCGAUGAAGAACGCAGCGAAAUGCGAUAAGUAAUGUGAAUUGCAGAAUUCAGUGAAUCAUCGAAUCUUUGAACGCACCUUGCGCCCUUUGGUAUUCCGAAGGGCAUGCCUGUUUGAGUGUCAUUAAAUUCUCAAACUUUUUGACUUUAUUGUUGUAGCUGUUUGGAUUUGUGGGGGGUGGUGGCCUUUUUCUUUGAAGUCGGCUCCUCUUAAAUGCAUUAGCGGGACUUUGUUGCCUCUGCGCAUAGUGUGAUAAUUAUCUACGCUAGACGCAUGCAAUUCUUAUAUUGUCCAGCUUUCUAAUCGUCUCAAGGGACAAUUACUUUGACAAUUGACCUCAAAUCAGGUAGAUUACCCCCCAAUUUUU